rnacentral:lncRNA from 1 species
CCGUGGGCACGUUCUCGCUUCCAUUCGGUCCUCCUUUUGUUAACGCUCUGGUAUCAUGUCUACGCCAGCUCCCGUGCAAUCCGGCGCCAUCGCGCUUUGGGCGAGCAUGGCCAUGGGGAGUAGAGAGGUGGAAACCGAGCUGACGUCUGCCUGGCCCUGGCGAUGGUGGCGAGCGCCGGGGAAGGACUGAUUGGAGAAUGGCGCCAAAUGGGUCACGGAUGGCGAGGGGGCACAGGAGCUCUCGAUGUGACCUGGCGCUGUGGAUGUGAUGCACAGCAGCUUGAGUGGGACUGCUCCGCUAUCCUCAUGAGAGAACGCUUUUUCUGAAGAUGGGAGGUGGCUAAUGAAAGAAGGAAUUGUGUUCUCGGUGAUGUCUGGAAGAGAUGUGUGACGUUGGAAGAUGAUUACGAAAUACAGGAAAGGAAUGAAAUCAAAGGAUGUUUUUUGUAAGAGUAACACUUACAGAAAUAUUCAUUAAUUUGAAGAUUUAUAUAAGGCCUGGUGACCUCCGUUAAUUCCUGGGACCCACAGUGUGGAAGAAGAGACCUGACUCCUGAAAGUUGUCUUCUGACCACAUAUACACAAUAUGUAAAUAAAUGUAAUUAAAAAGAAUCAAAAUAGUAAAACUG